rnacentral:rRNA from 1 species
UACGUAGGUGGCAAGCGUUGUCCGGAUUUAUUGGGUUUAAAGGGUGCGUAGGCGGUGACUUAAGUCAGUGGUGAAAUACUUCAGCUCAACUGGAGAGGUGCCAUUGAUACUGGGUUACUUGAGUACUGAUGAGGUAGGCGGAAUGGACGGUGUAGCGGUGAAAUGCUUAGAUAUCGUCCAGAACACCGAUAGCGAAGGCAGCUUACUAAGGAGUAACUGACGCUGAGGCACGAAAGUGUGGGGAUCAAACAGG